UACGAAGGGGGCUAGCGUUGCUCGGAAUCACUGGGCGUAAAGCGCACGUAGGCGGAUUGCUAAGUCAGGGGUGAAAUCCUGGAGCUCAACUCCAGAACUGCCUUUGAUACUGGCGAUCUUGAGUCCGGAAGAGGUUGGUGGAACAGCUAGUGUAGAGGUGAAAUUCGUAGAUAUUAGCUAGAACACCAGUGGCGAAGGCGGCCAACUGGUCCGGAACUGACGCUGAGGUGCGAAAGCGUGGGGAGCAAACAGG
rnacentral:rRNA from 1 species